rnacentral:rRNA from 1 species
GACGAACGCUGGCGGCGUGCUUAACACAUGCAAGUCGAACGGAAAGGCCCUGCUUUUGUGGGGUGCUCGAGUGGCGAACGGGUGAGUAACACGUGAGUAACCUGCCCCUGACUUUGGGAUAACUUCAGGAAACUGGGGCUAAUACCGGAUAGGAGCUCCUGCUGCAUGGUGGGGGUUGGAAAGUUUCGGCGGUUGGGGAUGGACUCGCGGCUUAUCAGCUUGUUGGUGGGGUAGUGGCUUACCAAGGCUUUGACGGGUAGCCGGCCUGAGAGGGUGACCGGCCACAUUGGGACUGAGAUACGGCCCAGACUCCUACGGGAGGCAGCAGUGGGGAAUAUUGCACAAUGGGCCGAAGCCUGAUGCAGCAACGCCGCGUGCGGGAUGACGGCCUUCGGGUUGUAAACCGCUUUCGCCUGUGACGAAGCGUGAGUGACGGUAAUGGGUAAAAAAGCACCGGCUAACUACGUG